AUUUCGGUCAUCGAUGGGGAUGCGUUCCAUUAGCUUGUUGGCGGGGUAACGGCCCACCAAGGCAUCGAUGGAUAGGGGUUCUGAGAGGAAGGUCCCCCACAUUGGAACUGAGACACGGUCCAAACUCCUACGGGAGGCAGCAGUGAGGAAUAUUGGUCAAUGGGCGCUAGCCUGAACCAGCCAAGUAGCGUGAAGGAUGACUGCCCUAUGGGUUGUAAACUUCUUUUAUAUGGGAAUAAAGUGCAGUAUGUAUACUGCUUUGCAUGUACCUUAUGAAUAAGGAUCGGCUAACUCCGUGCCAGCAGCCGCGGUAAUACGGAGGAUCCGAGCGUUAUCCGGAUUUAUUGGGUUUAAAGGGAGCGUAGGCGGGUUGUUAAGUCAGUUGUGAAAGUUUGCGGCUCAACCGUAAAAUUGCAGUUGAUACUGGCAUCCUUGAGUACAGUAGAGGUAGGCGGAAUUCGUGGUGUAGCGGUGAAAUGCUUAGAUAUCACGAAGAACUCCGAUUGCGAAGGCAGCCUGCUGGACUGUAACUGACGCUGAUGCUCGAAAGUGUGGGUAUCAAACAGGAUUAGAUACCCUGGUAGUCCACACAGUAAACGAUGAAUACUCGCUGUUUGCGAUAUACAGUAA
rnacentral:rRNA from 1 species